rnacentral:rRNA from 1 species
UGGGGAAUAUUGGACAAUGGGCGCAAGCCUGAUCCAGCCAUGCCGCGUGAGUGAUGAAGGCCCUAGGGUUGUAAAGCUCUUUCACCGGUGAAGAUAAUGACGGUAACCGGAGAAGAAGCCCCGGCUAACUUCGUGCCAGCAGCCGCGGUAAUACGAAGGGGGCUAGCGUUGUUCGGAUUUACUGGGCGUAAAGCGCACGUAGGCGGACUUUUAAGUCAGGGGUGAAAUCCCGGGGCUCAACCCCGGAACUGCCUUUGAUACUGGAAGUCUUGAGUAUGGUAGAGGGGGGUGGAAUUCCGAGUGUAGAGGUGAAAUUCGUAGAUAUUCGGAGGAACACCAGUGGCGAAGGCGGCUCACUGGACCAUUACUGACGCUGAGGUGCGAAAGCGUGGGGAGCAAACAGG